rnacentral:rRNA from 1 species
CCUACGGGUGGCAGCAGUGAGGAAUAUUGGUCAAUGGGCGCGAGCCUGAACCAGCCAAGUAGCGUGAAGGAUGACUGCCCUACGGGUUGUAAACUGCUGUUAUAAAGGAAUAAAGUGAGGCACGUGUGCCGUUUUGUAUGGACUGUAUGAAUAAGGAUCGGCUAACUCCGUGCCAGCAGCCGCGGUAAUACGGAGGAUCCGAGCGUUAUCCGGAUUUAUUGGGUUUAAAGGGAGCGUAGUUGGUUUGUUAAGUCAGUGGGGAAAGGUUGCGGCUCAACCGUAAAAUUGCAAUUGAUACUGGCAGCCUUGAGUACAGUUGCUGUAGGCGGAAUUCGUGGUGUAGCGG